UACAGAGGUCUCAAGCGUUGUUCGGAUUCAUUGGGCGUAAAGGGUGCGUAGGCGGUUUGGCAAGUCUUGUGUGAAAUCUUUGGGCUCAACCCAAAGUCUGCACAAGAAACUGCCGGGCUUGAGUAUGGGAGAGGUGAGUGGAAUUUCCGGUGUAGCGGUGAAAUGCGUAGAUAUCGGAAGGAACACCUGUGGCGAAAGCGGCUCACUGGACCAUUACUGACGCUGAGGCACGAAAGCUAGGGGAGCAAACAGG
rnacentral:rRNA from 1 species